rnacentral:rRNA from 1 species
CCUACGGGAGGCAGCAGUCGAGAAUCAUUCACAAUGGGGGAAACCCUGAUGGUGCGACGCCGCGUGGAGGAAUGAAGGUCUUCGGAUUGUAAACCCCUGUCAUGUGGGAGCAAAUUAAAAAGAUAGUACCACAAGAGGAAGAGACGGCUAACUCUGUGCCAGCAGCCGCGGUAAUACAGAGGUCUCAAGCGUUGUGCGGAAUCACUGGGCGUAAAGCGUGCGUAGGCUGUUUCGUAAGUCGUGUGUGAAAGGUGCGGGCUCAACCCGCGGACGGCACAUGAUACUGGGAGACUAGAGUAAUGGAGGGGUAGCCGGAAUUCUCGGUGUAGCAGUGAAAUGCGUAGAUAUCGAGAGGAACACUCGUGGCGAAGGCGGGUUCCUGGACAUUAACUGACGCUGAGGCACGAAGGCCAGGGGAGCGAAAGGGAUUAGAUACCCGUGUAGUC